rnacentral:lncRNA from 1 species
AUUGUUGGUAGAGGGUAAAGUAUAGAACCUCAAAUGGUGACAGAGUUAGAAAAAAUUUUCCUUAAGGUAAAAUUUGUAUUCAUCUUUCCAAUUUAACCUAUCACUGCUGGGCAUUGCCUUCCUGAUGGUCCAUGGAUUCACCAACCACACUGACAGAAUCCUUUGAGGUUGCUGUUAUCAUUGAACAUCUAACAACUGAACAGAGACUGCACAAAAUUAUGUAGUUAGACCAGGAUUACACUGCAAGAAAGUGUUGUGGUUGGAAUUCAAACCCAGCACUAUUUUCAGAAAGUGAGCCCUUACAGUUUCCCACAAGGUUCUGCCAUCAAUCUCUUAAUCUACUGUCAGAAAUACAGAACUUAGUCAUUGCUAACAGACAUCCACCAAGUCAUCUCAUUUAGGACUCCCAAGGCAGGGUAUUGCUAGCAUUGGGUCCGGGGAGGAGAAGAGGAAAUACUACCCAGAUUUUCUUCUCUCUCUGCAGGAUUCAGGAGUCAGAAUGACAAGGAGAGCCCUCCACGAGAAAGGCCUGAAGACAGAGCCCCUCAGAAGGCUCCUGCCUAGGAGGGGCCUCCGGACAAAUGCCCGGCCUAGUUCCACUGGGCCAGAUACCAGAGCUCCUGGGGGAGGAAGCAAGGCCCCUAGGGCACCCAGGACGAUCCCCCAAGGGAAGGGGAGGUGAGCCUGCUCGCCAGGCAAGGUGAGGCCCUUAGGAGUCCCUUGGCCACCCCAAGAUCCAGCCACCUACGCGUGCCCUGAGGGCAGAAAGAGCUUCCUAGCUCAACACCCACUGCAGGAACAUCAAGGGCAAGUGUGUCUACCUUUGCCCAGAACCUAAGGUCACAGAAUCCAUCCUGCUCCCCACCUGAGCCUCAAUGUGUGGGAAGAGAUUAGGGCAGAACUCGGACCACACCAAGCGCCUGAGGACGCCUCCCCGAGAGGCCCAGCAGUGCCUCCAGCACACAGGAAGUUGGACACCAGGCGGCCUUGCCAGCCUCCUCACACCAGCGCGGCCCUUGUCCAAAUGGCCCGAGUGUGCUUGCAACAUGGCCGCAGCCUUGACUCCCAGAGGCCGAGUCCGACCGUGCAGUGCCACAGGGACCACACUGGCGAGGGACUUCACCACCAAGAGGGGUGCUGGAGGCACCAAAGACCGGCCUUGAGCUGCCUGCCCCACCAUGUGCUGCUGACAAAGGUCUACGACAGCCACCCAUGCACGGGGUCUGCGAUACCGCGCCUGCAGCCCUGAGAGUCUAUGGGUGCCUGGCCUCUGAGCUGCUGGAACUUACACCAGGGUGCCAAUCUUGCCAGCCAACCUAGGAACCCACAUGGUCCAGAGGCCUUCCAGCCCAGGCACCCCGCUUCCUGCUGCAGGACCCAUAUGGAGGGACUGAUGGAGACUUCUGGGACAGCCCUGAGCCAACCCACCCUACCUGGAAAAUCCCACCUGGAGAAACCCAUGGCAAAUGAGUGGUCCAAGGGCUUUCCCCAACCUCUUGCUUCCUGACUUUAUUAUUGGGCCUAUCAUACUAGGACCUAUCACACUAGGAAACAAUAGCAUCUCCCAUUUAUCCAGAGCUUACUCUGUGCCAGGCGAUGUGAUUUAUGGGAAUUAUCUCAUUUAAUCCUCACAACAUCCUUGUGUCAUUGAUAUUAUUAGCAUUUUACAGACAGGGAAACUAAGUCUCCAAGAAGUUAAGGGACUUGCCCAAAGUCACACAUCCAGUAUGUUGCAGAACCAGCAUUCGGACCCAGGUCUGCCUGUCUGACUCCACAGUCGGUGCUAAUAUGCCACUUCUUGUGCUGGACACGGUGGAAUUAAGGCUGUGAGUUUGACAAGGCAUCCAUUUUAUGGAGCAUCCAUUUUUCUCAGUGAUAAGUUAUACGGAACACUUUUCAUACUAAAGUGUUCAAGCUCCCUGGGAGGAAAGUGAACGUUUGUUCCAAUGAUUGAUAUGAAAUUUGAGAUGACAUAGAAUUUUGGUGCUUAAGACCAGUGCUUCAAGCUCAACCCAUAGUUCUCUAGAGUGACCUCUUUUCAGACCUCUCUAGAGUGAUGUUGGUGAAGGAAGCCCCAGUCAGGACGAGCUCCUGUGUGGGUGCUUCCUGUAAAUGAAGGAAGAGGGCCUCUGGGCACCAUCUGCUAUCCCACUGUGUUGCUUGGGAAGCUCAAAUAACAAAGUUUUGUUAAUUAAGAUUUCCAAAUUCCCAAAGAUAUUAAUCUUCCGAAUUUAGAAAUGAAAAACCGGAAUUCUUAGGAAUUCCUGAAAUCUGUUAUUUUGUAUUUUUCAUUAACUUUCUGUACUUUUUAAAACAAGUAAAAACACAUUUAGUAGCAGUUAAAAAGAACUGUAGGCCAGGCUGGGGUGGUGGCACACCCCUGUAAUCUGAGUGGCUCAGGAGGCUGAGGCAAGAGGAUUGCAAGUUCCAAGCCAGCCUCAGCAACUUAGCGAGGCCCUAUCCCUAAAUAAAAUAUAAAAAAUGGAUGGGGAUGUGGCUCAGUGGUUAAGCACCCUUGAGUUCAAUCCCUAGUACUAAAAAAGAAAAGAAAAGAACUGUAGGCCAUAGCAGGUGGCCAAAAACUGGAAAUGCCAACAAACACUAUUGGAUAAUAUUUAAAUAACAAAGUGUUUAAAUAAGUAGUUAAAGAUUGACAGAACUUCACAGUCAUGAGUUGAAAUUGCCAAUAUAAGGCUUAUUUCCAAAACAUUUUAUUUCUUGGGCCAUCAUUCAUAGAUUUUGUAUAAAAUAUAUUAUGCAUGUAAACAUGUUAUCUUAUUUGUUAGUGUGACUCACUGUUAAUCAUAGACCCACAGAUACAGUUUUUUUCCCCUGAUUCUGGCAUGCUCUACCACUGAGCUACAUCCCCAGCCCUUUUCUCAAUUUUUAUUUUGAGACAGAGUCUCAACAAGUUUCCCAGGCUGAACUCAAACUUACCAUCCUUCUGCCUCAUAUUACAGGCAUGUGCCACUGCACCUGGCAUAAAUACACUUUUAAUAUGUUAACAGCUACAAAAGAAUGAAUUAGAUUGUGACAACUUUUUUUCUAUGUGCUCCUUAUCCCAAGUUUCAGAAAUGUCUACUUUAACUUCAAAUUCCCUGUGUCAACACUUCUUUUCUUGCUUUUGAAUUCCUCUGUAUUGUUAAGCAUUCAUUCUCACAGGAGAAUUAUAGUGCUUUUCUCCAUUUUGCCAAUUUCUUCACCAAUUUUUUAAAAAUUUAUUUUUUAGUUGUAGUUGAACACAAUUCCUUUAUUUUAUUGAUUUAUUUGUAUGUGGUGCUGAGGAUCGAACCCAAGGCCUCACACUUGCUAGGCGAGCGCUCUACCACUGAGCCACAAUCCCAGCCCCUCUUCACCAAUUUUUUAAAAAAUAUUUUUUAGUUGUCAAUGGACCUUUAUUUAUUUUUAUGUGGUGAUGAGAAUCAAACUCAGUGCCUCACACAUGCUAGGCAAGCGCUCUUCCACUGAGCUACAACCCCAGCCCCACCAAUUGUUUUUGAGAUUCAGAAAAACACAAAAAUUUCUCAGUUAAUACCAGAAAGGAAUUUCUGCAAAGACACUGCCCUGGGCUGAGCAGCACUGGCAAGGCAAGACCUAGUUCUUUGUCAAUCAAGUUCAGCCAGUAGAGCUUCCUGGUGUCAGAGGCCUUAGAGCCAAAGGAUCCAAAUGUGGAUCCUAGCUCUGCCACUUUCUGGUUGUGAGACUAGGAAAAUCACUUUACCUCUCUGAGUUUCAAUUUAGCAGAAUAACGUGGGAAAGAAUAUGCUUGCUUUGCGAGGCCGUAUUAUAGGGAGGGUUAAGAGUGUGGCUUUGGAGUCAGACAGUCUGAGGUUCAAAUCCUAGCUCCAUUACUUACUACUACCUCUUUGAUUUGGGACAAGUUCUAACCACUUCAUUUUUCUCUUCUGUAAAAUGGGGACACUGAUUGAAUCUAUUUCAUAGGAUGUUGUUGAGUUUAAAUGAGAUCACACAUGAAAAUGUUUAACAUAGAGCAUGGUACAUUGUAAAUGCUUGGUAAAUGUGGACCAGUAUAGUUAUUAUUAUCUGCUGUAUCUACCUCACAGGGCAGUUGUGAGGAUGAAUUGGGGAGUAUGCUGGGGAAGUGCUUUCUAAACUGUGAAAUGGUAUCCACACAUCCCUCUUUCCUUCAGAGAUGGGAUGGUCAGAAGCUUUGGGCAGACAUUAGUGGCACCCCCAAGUAGGGGGCCUGAGAAUCCUUGCUUACAUUCACAGAAGGUAGCUGUGUUGAGGAGGUGUCAUCACCUGAAAAACAGGGUACAAAGUGCUCUUAGGUGAGGGUUAAUUGCAAUCAAGUGGGCAAAGUCCCACUUUGAUGACUUCAAAAGGAGGCUAUGGAGGAAAGAGUGGUGUUAAAAGGAAUCUCCCCAUCAUAGGAUUUUUUUUUUUAAUAGAGAUCAAAUCAGAGGAAGGGGACAUGUAACAAAAGAUGGUAAGGAGGGCUGUCUUGACUCCUGUCAGAAACUCUUGUUGAGGAAAGGCUGAAUUUAGGACAUGGUCCCCAUAGUUGGGACGAGUACAUCCUCUCCUGCUGUGCAAGCACAUGCAAUGUCAUUUGUUUCCUAGACUUUAGACCAAAUGUGGUUUAAAGAGCCUUCCAAAGACGACCUCAGGUAAUCCUGACAGCAGCCCCAUAAAAUAAAUACUAGCACUACUCUCAUUUUGCAGAUGAGAACUUGGAAUCUGGGAAGGUUAAAUCCAGUGCCUGAGGACACACAGCUCUAUGCUGUAGAGUCAGGAUUCAGAGUCCAAGCCUUUCACCUGCACUGAGCUGCCUCAACCCACCAGGUUCCAGAUUGCUGGUCUUGAACAAGAAAGAAGGAAGUUCAAGUGUAUAUGGCUUUUAUGCCCAAGUGUCCUCCACUUUUACCUUCAGUAAUUACUCUUUCUCGUGUGUGCUGCUUAUUUGCUGUUUUUCCUCUGCUUAGUCCUUAAGGCAGGGUCUCUGCCCCAUCCCUGGACCCUUUUUGUACCCAGGUGAGAUUUCUUUGUGCUAACAGCUUCAACUACUGAUCAUCUCUCCUUACCAGACUCUCCUUCUAAGCACCAGCCUGAUCAACCAACUGCCUCCUUGAUAACUCCUCCUCUGUGAGUCCAGGUUUCUGAUUCAGCAUCUCUCCCUUAACAUGCCUCUCCUAAGCUCCCCCCUCCUUACCAUGGCCUCUUUGUUUCAAAUUCUAAUGUGAUGGUGGGGAAUCUAAGAAGCUUUCAAAGACAAAGCCUCUUGAAUAAUUCUAGAGAUGGAAUGCAGGGUACAUUCUCUGAGAGCUGCCAAGAGUUUGGAGGUAAAUUGGAGAUUAGAAUUGAUUAUUUAAUCAGCUGUCUACUGAGUGCCCACUGAUGUGCCAGAUUCAGUAGCCCAUGCUGAGGAUGCAUUCAUGAGUAAAACAGGAGCCCUAGUUUCAGGGAUCCUCCAAGCUACUGGGGAAGACUGACAUUAAACCAUCCUCCCCAAAUACAAAUCCUUAUAUAAGACUGUGUUAAGUGUUGUGAAGGAAAAGUUUAGGGUGCUAUGAAAGAAUACAAUAAAUCUAAAUGUGGGGGAGGGGGGUACAAAGAAGAUCAUUUUGAUAAGUGACAAUUACUGUAUUCCUGAGACCUAAAUAGAAGGAAGAGAAUUCUAUAUAAAGGAAACAGUAGGCACACAAAGGUCUAGAGGUGGGAAAGACCUUGGUAUGUUAGGAAAACUGAAAUUCAGUCUGUGUAGCUGGGGCUGUGACAGGAACAUACUGGGGGGUGGGAUAUGGUAAAGAACUUGGAAUUUUGGGUUUAACUUUUUUUGGGGGGGGGAGGAACAAUUUUAAAAUUUCAGAAUAUUGUAAGACAAGAACAAAAGGCUAUUGUUAACAUUUACCCCAUUUGUUUUAUCAUUUGCUCUCUAUCCUGAACACUUAUACAAUGGCUUUUAUUCUGAGCUAUUUGAAAAUAUGUUGCAUACAUCAUGUUCUUUUACCCCUAAAUAUAGCGUAUAUUUCCUACCAUAAGGCAAUUGCCCACUUCACUAAAUUUAAUAUUGAUGCAACACGGCAGCUAACCACCUCUCUUGUAAACUGUUUCUAUGAUGUCCUUUAUAUAGCAUUUUCCCCUGUAGUAUACAGGAUCCAGUCUAGGAAUGAUGUGUUUCAUUAAGUUGUUAUUUCUCUUUAGUAUCUUUUAAUCUAGAAUAGGUAGCCUUUCUUUGUCAUUUAUGAUGUUGACACUAUUGAAGAAUGCAAUCUUCCCCUUUAUUUUAAUAGAAUGUUUCUCCUUUUGGUUUGUUUUCUGUUUCUUCAUUAUUAUAUAUGAGUAAUGCAAUCAUGGCGUAAGACUGUGUAAGUGAUAUUGUGUCCUCAGUGUCUUUGGUGAUUUAAAUUUUGAUCACUCAGUCAAGGCAUUGUCUGAUUUCUCAAUUUAGAAUUACUGUUUUUCCCUUACAACUAAUAAGCAAUCCAUGGGGAGAUACUUUCUGAUCAUCCCACUCCAUUCUCAGAGGUUAUAAAUAGAUUUAACAUCUACUGAUGGAUAAUCCUUUCCUGAAUAAAUAUCAUGAUAGUUAGAAUAUGCUAACUCCUCAACUCUAAGGACUCACUCCACAUUUAUUAGUCAACAUUUGACAUUCUUUUGCCUACUUGUUUACAUAUUUACUGUUAGUAGGGGCUCUUGGAUUUCUAUGAUUUUCCAAUGAUCUUAUAAUUAUUAACCUGAAAGAUUUUGGUGCCAGAAUUGUCCCAGAUUUGGCCAGUGAGAACCCUUUAAAAC